rnacentral:rRNA from 1 species
AAACUUUCAACAACGGAUCUCUUGGCUCUGGCAUCGAUGAAGAACGCAGCGAAAUGCGAUACGUAAUGUGAAUUGCAGAAUCCAGUGAAUCAUCGAAUCUUUGAACGCACAUUGCGCCCGCCAGUAUUCUGGCGGGCAUGCCUGUCCGAGCGUCAUU